UACAUGGGGUGCAAACGUUGUUCGGAAUUACUGGGCGUAAAGCGCGUGUAGGCUGCUUCGCAAGUCGGAUGUGAAAGCCCUGGGCUCAACCUAGGAAGUGCAUUCGAAACUGCGGAGCUCGAGUCCUGGAGAGGAAGGCGGAAUUCUCGGUGUAGAGGUGAAAUUCGUAGAUAUCGAGAGGAACACCUGUGGCGAAGGCGGCCUUCUGGACAGUGACUGACGCUGAGACGCGAAAGCGUGGGGAGCAAACAGG
rnacentral:rRNA from 1 species